rnacentral:rRNA from 1 species
UUCACUUGAAGAUGGGCGUGCGUCUGAUUAGGUAGUUGGCGGGGUAACGGCCCACCAAGCCUACGAUCAGUAACUGGUGUGAGAGCACGACCAGUCACACGGGCACUGAGACACGGGCCCGACUCCUACGGGAGGCAGCAGUAAGGAAUAUUGGGCAAUGGACGCAAGUCUGACCCAGCCAUGCCGCGUGGAGGAUGAAGGUCCUCUGGAUUGUAAACUUCUUUUAUCUGGGAAGAAAAAAGGGAAUUCUUUCCCGUCUGACGGUACCAGAUGAAUAAGCACCGGCUAACUCCGUGCCAGCAGCCGCGGUAAUACGGAGGGUGCAAGCGUUAUCCGGAUUUACUGGGUUUAAAGGGUGCGUAGGUGGGCUGGUAAGUCCGUGGUGAAAUCCCCGAGCUUAACUUGGGAACUGCCAUGGAUACUAUUGGCCUUGAAUUUUCUGGAGGUUAGCGGAAUAUGUCAUGUAGCGGUGAAAUGCUUAGAUAUGACAUAGAACACCGAUUGCGAAGGCAGCUGGCUACAGAAACAUUGACACUGAGGCACGAAAGCGUGGGGAUCAAACAGGAUUAGAU